CCUACGGGGGGCUGCAGUGGGGAAUAUUGCACAAUGGGCGAAAGCCUGAUGCAGCAACGCCGCGUGAGUGAUGAAGGCCUUCGGGUCGUAAAGCUCUGUCCUAAGGGAAGCAUACUGACGGUACCUUAGGAGGAAGCCCCGGCUAACUACGUGCCAGCAGCCGCGGUAAUACGUAGGGGGCUAGCGUUAUCCGGAAUUACUGGGCGUAAAGGGUGCGUAGGCGACACUUCAAGUCAGAGGUGAAAGGCUACGGCGCGACCGUAGUAAGCCUUUGAAACUGUAGGGCUUGAGUGCAGGAGAGGAGAGUGUAAUUCCCAGUGUAGCGGUGAAAUGCGUAGAUAUUGGGUGCAACACCAGUCGCGAAGGCGGCUCUCUGGACUGUAACUGAUGCUGAGUCACGAUAGCGUGGGGAGCGAACACGAUUAGAUACUCCUGUACUC
rnacentral:rRNA from 1 species